rnacentral:rRNA from 1 species
ACAGCAGCCGCCGCGGUAAUACAGAGGGUGCGAGCGUUAAUCGGAUUUACUGGGCGUAAAGCGUGCGUAGGCGGCUUCUUAAGUCGGAUGUGAAAUCCCUGAGCUUAACUUAGGAAUUGCAUUCGAUACUGGGAAGCUAGAGUAUGGGAGAGGAUGGUAGAAUUCCAGGUGUAGCGGUGAAAUGCGUAGAGAUCUGGAGGAAUACCGAUGGCGAAGGCAGCCAUCUGGCCUAAUACUGACGCUGAGGUACGAAAGCAUGGGGAGCAAACAGGAUUAGAUACCCCUGUAGUCCCUGUCUCUUAUAU